AGAGCGAACGCUGGCGGCAGGCUUAACACAUGCAAGUCGAGCGCCCCGCAAGGGGAGCGGCAGACGGGUGAGUAACGCGUGGGAACGUACCUUUUGGUUCGGAACAACACAGGGAAACUUGUGCUAAUACCGGAUAGGCCCUUACGGGGAAAGAUUUAUCGCCGAAAGAUCGGCCCGCGUCUGAUUAGCUAGUUGGUGAGGUAACGGCUCACCAAGGCGACGAUCAGUAGCUGGUCUGAGAGGAUGAUCAGCCACAUUGGGACUGAGACACGGCCCAAACUCCUACGGGAGGCAGCAGUGGGGAAUAUUGGACAAUGGGCGCAAGCCUGAUCCAGCCAUGCCGCGUGAGUGAUGAAGGCCCUAGGGUUGUAAAGCUCUUUUAACGGGGAAGAUAAUGACGGUACCGUAGAAUAAGCCCGGCUAACUUCGCGCCAGCAGCCGC
rnacentral:rRNA from 1 species